rnacentral:rRNA from 1 species
UCGGGUUGUAAAGCACUUUUGUCCGGAAAGAAAACUUCGGCCCUAAUACGGCGGGAGGAUGACGGUACCGGAAGAAUAAGCACCGGCUAACUACGUGCCAGCAGCGCGGUAAUCGUAGGGUGCGAGCGUUAAUCGGAAUUACUGGGCGUAAAGCGUGCGCAGGCGGUUCGUUAAGACAGAUGUGAAAUCCCCGGGCUUAACCUGGGAACUGCAUUUGUGACUGGCGAGCUAGAGUAUGGCGGAGGGGGGUAGAAUUCCACGUGUAGCAGUGAAAUGCGUAGAGAUGUGGAGGAAUACCGAUGGCGAAGGCAGCCCCCUGGGCCAAUACUGACGCUCAUGCACGAAAGCGUGGGGAGCAAACAGGAUUAGAUACCCUGGUAGUCCACGCCCUAAACGAUGUCAACUAGUUGUCGGGGAUUCAUUUCCUUAGUAACGUAGCUAACGCGUGAAGUUGACCGCCUGGGGAGUACGGUCGCAAGAUUAAAACUCAAAGGAAUUGACGGGGACCCGCACAAGCGGUGGAUGAUGUGGAUUAAUUCGAUGCAACGCGAAAAACCUUACCUACCCUUGACAUGGUCGGAACCCUGCUG